AGAGCUGCCCAAAUGAGGUUUCCUCCUUGAUGACCUCUGUAUUUUAGCAUCAUGUGAUGCUGAUUUUGAGGACAGUAUUAUGGUGUUUCCCUGUCAAACUGUUAUAGAGAUCACACUCAAAAUAGAUGGAGCUGUAUUUCUCUGUUUUUCAGUGAUCUUGCCAGCUGCUGCUGCUGUCAGGAGCGAGUGAGAUGUAUUUGAUCCUGGCUUUGCAGGUCUGUGAGGAAGCCACCAACGGGAAAGCUGAUGGUGCUUGGAGCUGAUUUGUCUUUUUGGGAUGGCUCCUGAGAUGAGCCACAUGUUUAGCCAGGUUCGAAAGCUGUGAUUAUGCCAGCUACUAUCUUCCUUGAGAUCUUCUGGUGGACAAGAAGGUGCUUUUAUAGAGAAAUGCAGCAAUCAUCUCCACCAAAUGUGAGUGAAAACUUGAAAUCGCAGAAAAGACUGAACAUAGUUAUAAAUGAGAGCUGUGGUGGGAUGUUUCUGGGCCAGUGAGUCUCUACUCCAUGAACUUUCUGCUUCCCUUCGACAGAUUGGCAGCAUCAGCAACCAGACACAAUUCAGAAUGGAAGGCUUUCAGGUAGUGCUGGGGGUGGCUUUUUUUUUUCCCAUCUUAGCUGAUAUAUUCUCUGCUGACCUGUCAGAGAACCUCAGGAGUGCAGAUGUGUGCUUAUCUGAGCAAUAACACAGCCAGCUGCCUUCAAAGGGAAGGGUGGGUCAGCACCUAUCUCAGCAUGAAGAAAAGGGUGGGGAAAAAGCACACUGACAAAUAUGGCCUAUUUUUUAAUGAUUGCCACUCAUUUCCUGUUAGAAAGGACAAAAGGGCUGAAUGUGACUCUCUGCGUAUUUUACUGGGGAAUUAAACUGUUGAUGGAUGAAGGUAGCAACAGCCAGCACCGCUAAUGCAACCAUCUCCUCUUUCACCAGUAGUUUCCCCCUGUAAUGGUUGCGUACUCACAGCAUGGCCUCUUGGACAACUUUUUCUGUCUGAAUCAUCACAAGUUUUCUUUGGGGCAUGGCAGAUGAGAAAAGGGAGUUGAUGACUCGUGCCUGCAAGCUCUCGAGUUCCUUUAGAGUGGGAACU